AUUGAACGCUGGCGGCAGGCCUAACACAUGCAAGUCGAACGAGUGGCGUACUGGUGAGCAAUGUCUGGGAAACUGCCUGAUGGAGGGGGAUAACUACUGGAAACGGUAGCUAAUACCGCAUACCAUCGGAUGUGCCCAGAUGGGAUUAGCUAGUAUGUAGGGUAAUGGCCUACCUAGGCGACGAUACGGAGCCGAGCUGAGAGGGUGACUGUGCAAACUGGGACUGGUACACGGCCCAGACUCAUACGGGAGGCAGCAGGAGGGACUCUGCGGCAAUGGGCGGAAGUCGGACCGAGCAACGCCGGGUAGGUGAAGAAGGCCUUCGGGUUGUAAAGUACUUUAAGCGGGGAGGCGUGAACCGCAGCAGAAGCACCGGCUAACUCCGUGCCAACAGCCGCGGUAAUUC
rnacentral:rRNA from 1 species